ensembl:rRNA 5S_rRNA 5S ribosomal RNA
GUCUACAGCCCUGAGCGCGCCCGAUCUUGUCUGAUCUCGGAAGCUAAGCAGGGUUGGGCCUGGUUAGUACUUGGGUGGGAGAACCCUUCAGGUUUCACCUAGACC